UCAACACAUGCAACGGAUAUGCCUUGAAUUACUUAUUCUUGCUGCUUAGAAUCAGACACCAGGAAGCAAUAAUUAAGAUGGAGAUAUAAGAAGAGCUGACCUGGGAGUCUAUUCAGCUGUUGAUAUUUUCUGAAGGGAUACUCUCCCUCUCAAAAAGAGCAACAGGAUGAGAUGACAGCUUUUCUCAUGGCCCUGUUAAUAGUUUUUGCUAACAAGGAAAGGGGAAGGGAAUAAUUCUUUGCAAUAAUAUUGACUUCUUCUGUGAUCUUGGCAUCA
rnacentral:lncRNA from 1 species